rnacentral:lncRNA from 1 species
AAAAAUGUGAUAUUUAAGAAUUUGAUCAUAAGUUUAAAAGCCCUUUGUAAAUAUUUUUAUUCAAAUAAGCAAUUUAAAGUUCAGUUUUCGUGAAAUUGUAUUUGAUAAAACGGAUCUUAACUUAGCUAUUGGGAUAGCCCGCUGUCAUUUGCAUAUUGCGUGUGGUUUCUUUUCCCGGACGUUUCAACCAACACAAACAUAAAAUUGGUAUUUGCUCUCAAAGUAGCAUUGAGGAAAGAGCCAACACGGGUUCUAUUGAUGUAAGUCUUUUUUUAUAGGGAGACUUAUCGACCAAUUAUAUGGAAAAUUACGUAGUGAACUAGCAAGAUUAAAUGCGGAUCGGCGUGUCAGCUCAAUACAUUCUUGCUGCCAAUUUAUUUAAACACAAAUCUAUCAUCAGGCUAUUUCUCAACAAGACAGGAUAAGCAAAAUGUAUUCGCAACUCAUUUUCUCUAACAUAACUCUUUUCCUUCAUGAUGGCGGGAUAUCUUCAGAUUCUGAAGUAGCCAAAGCCAUCAAAUGCUGUAAGUACAGGUGAAAUUUUCCAAAACAAAGUUAAUUUACAACUUGAAAUACUGAACUGAAAUUCAAUAUUUAUUUAUAACGGAAAGUCCCUAAUCAAAUGGCAAAAUCAAAAGCUCAAAUACAUCAAACGAAUGGAUAACAACUGUCACAUUCUUUACUUGAUACAUACAUCUUCUUAUGUAGAAAAUGGUGGAUUAAACCUGGUUUUAUAGCUAGCUCAAACACUCACUUGUAUGACAGUCCUAUAAAAUUCCCUUAUAUUGACAAAGAUGUCUGACCAUAACAAACAGAUAUAAUAGGUAAAAGUCAAAAAUAAGGGUACAAUAGUCAAGGUUGUGUAAUUAUCAACCAAUUAAAGGAUUAGUUUGAGAAAUGCGAGGUUUAUUUUAGAAUUGAAUGUUUUUUGGUAAUUUU